UACGUAGGGUGCGAGCGUUGUCCGGAAUUACUGGGCGUAAAGCGUGCGCAGGCGGUUGUGCAAGACAGAUGUGAAAUCCCCGGGCUCAACCUGGGAACUGCAUUUGUGACUGCACGGCUGGAGUGCGGCAGAGGGGGAUGGAAUUCCGCGUGUAGCAGUGAAAUGCGCAGAUAUCAGGAAGAACACCCGUGGCGAAGGCGGCUCUCUGGGACGGUACUGACGCUGAGACGCGAAAGCGUGGGGAGCGAACAGG
rnacentral:rRNA from 1 species